CUUUUACGUCGGCCUCCGCGAGCGUUUGGUAGUGUGGUAGGAACAAUGGCGCUGUCUUCAGUGGCACAGCGGAGCAGUUCUGUGAAGAUGCAAAGAUACACGAAAAAAAUUCCAGAACAUCUGGGAGAAUAUUUAAUGGAAAAUCGCUUGGUUAAAACCUGACACUUAACAGUGAGGGUCGCUGUCUGCCCAUUGAUAGAGGCCAGAUUGUCUUGGAAGUUCCAAAGUUGCAACGAUUUCUUUGGUUGAAUCCGUGGACAUGAAACCCACAGAUACAGAGGGUCGGCCCGGUGCAGUGGCUCACGCCUGUAAUCCCAGCACUUUGGGAGGCCAAGGCAGGUGGAUCACCUGAGGUCAGAAGCUCGAGACCAGCCUGGCCAACAUGGGUACUGCUUUCUCUUGCUGCAGCUUGCUUCCUCCCUCAGAUAACUUGAAGAAGGAUAUUGAAUGUUCCUAACACAAAGAAAUGAUAAAUGUUUGAGAUGGUGGAUGUGCUAAUUGCCCUGAUCUGAUGACUAUACAUUAUAUAUAUUGAAACAUCAGUAUGUACCCCAUGAAUAUGUACAAU
rnacentral:lncRNA from 1 species